UCCAAGGUCAACUUUAUUUCGAUCUUAUCGAACUAGUUAAUUGCAAUGUAGAAAGUAUUUGAUUCUUAAAUGGAACAUCAGUUCUUCAGUGUGAGCUAUGGCUACUGUACUACUGUCAAUAUAGAAAGACUGGACUAUCAAUGGAGGGUGCCACUCCAUGCUCGCUGAUAAAUGUUCAUCAUCAAACAAUUUCUUUACCAGCAUGAAAUACCAUAAAG
rnacentral:lncRNA from 1 species